CCUACGGGAGGCAGCAGUGGGGGAUAUUGCACAAUGGGGGGAACCCUGAUGCAGCGACGCCGCGUGGGUGAAGGAGUGCUUCGGCAUGUAAAGCCCUAUCGGCAGGGAAGAAGCAAGACGGUACCUGACUAAGAAGCCCCGGCUAACUACGUUCCAGCAGCCGCGGGAAUACGUAGGGGGCGAGCGUUAUCCGGAUUCAUUGGGUGUAAAGGGAGCGUAGACGGCCAUGCAAGCCAGGGGUGAAAGCCCGGGGACCAACCCCGGGACUGCCCUUGGAACUGCAGGGCUGGAGUGCGGGAGGGGCAGGCGGAAUUCCUGGUGUAGCGGUGAAAUGCGUAGAUAUCAGGAGGAACACCGGUGGCGAAGGCGGCCUGCUGGACCGCGACUGACGUUGAGGCUCGAAAGCGUGGGGAGCGAACAGGAUUAGAUACCCGAGUAGUC
rnacentral:rRNA from 1 species